CGGGGUAGGAGUAACGCGUGAGGAACCUGCCUCAAAGAGGGGGACAACAGUUGGAAACGGCUGCUAAUACCGCAUAAGCCCACGGCUCGGCAUCGAGCAGAGGGAAAAGGAGCAAUCCGCUUUGAGAUGGCCUCGCGUCCGAUUAGCUAGUUGGUGAGGUAGUGGCCCACCAAGGCAACGAUCGGUAGCCGGACUGAGAGGUUGAACGGCCACAUUGGGACUGAGACACGGCCCAG
rnacentral:rRNA from 1 species